GUGAGUCUACACCCCUCUGGGCUACCACCCCUCACCUCAUGCUGUCUCCUGAAAAGGACUCUUCCCCUGGACUGAAACAGGCUUGGCACAUCACCUACAGGUAUCUGGGCAACCAGAUGAAUAAAUGAGGCUCCAGAGAUGAAGUAACAUACUCAAGGCAAGACUUUGUAAAGAAGCCCCUAAAAUGAUAGCAAACUCUGCAGGGGCUCAGGCCUUGAAGACACCAGGUGCAGGGAGAUGAGUACUUUGAAGAAGAAAGAAGCCAAGCCCAAGUACAGUUAGCCAUAGAACUGAGCUCCAUGCCUAUGCACUCUGCCUCUAGACUGAUGUAGGGCAAGUGAGCCCCCAAAUUGGGACUUAGACCGGAAGAGUUCUUGGCUUCACCCAGGAAAUAAUUCAAGGGUGAGUCGAUGGUUUAGACAGCAGCUUUUAUUGAAGUGGCAGUGUAUGGCAGCAACAGUAGUUUCCAUGCCUUCUCCAUGAGAAGAACAUCCCUGGGCUAGCUCACUGGUCCCACGAGGAAGGUGUGAGACGUUUGGAGCAGAGUUAAAGUCCGCCAGCCAACACUACCCUAAAUCAGCCAUCUCCUACUCUGCUCACAGAUGUGUAGGUAAGCCCAGUCAACUCUAGCAAUGCCAGUCAAACAAGUUCAGCAUAAAUUAGUGUCCCUCAGGCAACCACAGAUCUGUGAGUAUAAGUAACCAUGUCUUAAGCCACUGAGUUUGGGGUUGGUUUGUUAUAUAGCAUUAUUGUAGCCAUGGUUAACUUAUGCGAGUAACAAUCCAGGAACUGGUCCCCAAUUAAUGGA